rnacentral:lncRNA from 1 species
AUUUUUGUCGAGCCUGCAACUUUUGUUGCAGAAAGCUCGACAUAGGGAUAGUGAUCCGGCGGCGGCGGCGGCGGCGGCGGUGUUAGCUAACUUCUUAAAAGCUUUAUAUUUUAGAAGGUGGAAGACCUGGAUGCUUCAUACUUUGUAUAUAGAUGCCUCAUGUUACGAAGUUUCCGUCAGUCACAUGUCCAAUGUCCUUGACCUCAUUUUCAUGGUUCAGUGACCACUUGAAAAAAAAGUUCAAAUUUUUUGUAAUGUUGAAUUCUCUCUUAUUAUAAGUAAUAGGAUAACUAUAUUUGAUAUGUGCGUACCUUGCAAGGUCCUCAUGUCUGUCAGACAGUUUUCACUUGACCUCGACCUCAUUUCAUGGAUCAGUGAACAAGGUUAAGUUUUGGUAGUCAAGUCCAUAUCUCAGAUACUAUAAGCAAUAGGGCUAGUAUAUUCGGUGUAUGGAAGGACUGUAAGGUGUACAUGUCCAACUGGCAGGUGUCAUCUGACCUUGACCUCAUUUUCAUGGUUCAGUGGUUAUAGUUAAAUUUUUGUGUUUUGGUCUGUUUUUUUCGUACUAUAUGCAAUAGGUCUACUAUAUUUGUUAUAUGGAAUGAUUGUAAGGUGUACAUGUCUAGCGGGCAGAUGUCAUGGAACCUUGACCUCAUUUUCAUGGUUCAGUGGUUAUAGUUAAAUUUUUGUGUUUUGGUCUGUUUUUUUUCAUACUAUAUGCAAUAGGUC